rnacentral:rRNA from 1 species
GAUGAACGCUAGCGGCAGGCUUAACACAUGCAAGUCGAGGGGUAUAGGUUUUUGGACCUAGAGACCGGCGCACGGGUGCGUAACGCGUAUGCAAUCUACCUUUCACAGAGGGAUAGCCCAGAGAAAUUUGGAUUAAUACCUCAUAGUAUAGCAGUUUCGCAUGAAACCACUAUUAAAGUUCCAACGGUGAAAGAUGAGCAUGCGUCCCAUUAGCUAGAUGGUAAGGUAACGGCUUACCAUGGCUACGAUGGGUAGGGGUCCUGAGAGGGAGAUCGCUCACACGGGUAUUGAGAACCGGGGCAGACUCCUACGGGAGGCAGCAGUGAGGAAUAUUGGUCAAUGGAAGCAAGUGUGAUCCGGCCAUGCCGCGUACAGGAUGACGGUCCUAUGGAUGGUAAACUGCUUUUGUAUGAGAAGAAACAUUCCGACGUGGCGGAACUUGACGGUAUCGUAAGAAUAAGGAUCGGCUAACUCCGUGCCAGCCGCCGCUGUAAUAC